AACUUCCAACAACGGAUCUCUUGGUUCUGGCAUCGAUGAAGAACGCAGCAAAAUGCGAUAAGUAAUGUGAAUUGCAGAAUUCAGUGAAUCAUCGAAUCUUUGAACGCACAUUGCGCCCGCCAGUAUUCUGGCGGGCAUGCCUGUUCGAGCGUCAUUU
rnacentral:rRNA from 1 species